AAUUAAAAACCGAAGGGUUUGAAAUUUUGAGUUGUUAGAUGGGGGUUUAGCUCAGUUGGUAGAGCGCCUGCUUUGCAAGCAGGAUGUCAGCGGUUCGACUCCGCUAACCUCCACAUGUGAGUAAAUUGGAAGUGAACAAAGUCUAAUCUUAGACAAAGAUGUUUAGGGGUUUAGAUUGCGAUAACUUUCAAUAAUAGUCAUAAGAUGAAAGAUAGUGAGUUUGUCUAGCAACUGAUUAAGUCAGACUGCUGGAAAACUCCAGCCAGAACCUUGAAAACUGCAUAUUGACCCGAAAGAUGAAAGUAGGUAGUCAAAAAUCGUGAAGUUUUGAGCGAAAGCGAAGAACAGAA
rnacentral:tRNA from 1 species